GUUGAUGUAGCUUAUCUAAUAAAGCAAGGCACUGAAAAUGCCUAGAAGAAUCAUAAGAUUCCAUAAACA
rnacentral:tRNA from 1 species